rnacentral:rRNA from 1 species
GACGAACGCUGGCGGCGUGCCUAAUACAUGCAAGUCGAACGCUUUUUCUUUCACCGGAGCUUGCUCCACCGAAAGAAAAGGAGUGGCGAACGGGUGAGUAACACGUGGGUAACCUGCCCAUCAGAAGGGGAUAACACUUGGAAACAGGUGCUAAUACCGUAUAACAAUAGAAACCGCAUGGUUUCUAUUUGAAAGGCGCUUUUGCGUCACUGAUGGAUGGACCCGCGGUGCAUUAGCUAGUUGGUGAGGUAACGGCUCACCAAGGCAACGAUGCAUAGCCGACCUGAGAGGGUGAUCGGCCACAUUGGGACUGAGACACGGCCCAAACUCCUACGGGAGGCAGCAGUAGGGAAUCUUCGGCAAUGGACGRAAGUCUGACCGAGCAACGCCGCGUGAGUGAAGAAGGUUUUCGGAUCGUAAAACUCUGUUGUUAGAGAAGAACAAGGAUGAGAGUAAAAUGUUCAUCCCUUGACGGUAUCUAACCAGAAAGCCACGGCUAACUACGUGCCAGCAGCCGCGGUAAUACGUAGGUGGCAAGCGUUGUCCGGAUUUAUUGGGCGUAAAGCGAGCGCAGGCGGUUUCUUAAGUCUGAUGUGAAAGCCCCCGGCUCAACCGGGGAGGGUCAUUGGAAACUGGGAAACUUGAGUGCAGAAGAGGAGAGUGGAAUUCCAUGUGUAGCGGUGAAAUGCGUAGAUAUAUGGAGGAACACCAGUGGCGAAGGCGGCUCUCUGGUCUGUAACUGACGCUGAGGCUCGAAGGCGUGGGGAGCAAACAGGAU